AUACCUUCCCAACACAAACAACUUCUCAAGGUAACUUCUCGUUUCUUUCCUUUAUCAUUUGAACAUAUCAGUUAGCUACAAAGAACUAAUCCUUUAACAUAUAAACACAUUAGUAUACUGUAUACGCACACACACAAACAAAAACAUAAAGUUAAAAAGAUCUUGCGGUGAUGGACAAGAAAAAGUCAGUAUCUGGUUCCUCUUCAUCUUCUUCAUCUUUGGAUCAUCUUUUCGGUCCAAGAGUCUCUCCUUUGUCUUCUUCAUCAUCAACAACAGAAUUGUUCAAUUCUAUUUUCCCACCAACCUCAACGGAGACGCAAGCAAACUUGGCAAGUCGAAAUGGAGCUGCCAAAUAUCAACCUACAAAUUUGGGGAUUCCAAAUGAGAGAGGAGAAAGGAGCAAAAAUAAGGAGAGAAAGAGUUACCAAAAUGAAGAAACACAACCACCAUGCAACUUGAGCUCAUCCAUAUACUAUGGAGGCCAAGAUAACUAUUCCUCUUCAACUACCAACCCUGAUGCUUAUAAGAAAGAUGGAGAGGAAGGCGAUUCUGAAAGUGCUCCAAGAGGAAACUGGUGGGAUGGAUCGCUUUAUUACUAAUUAGCAAACCCUAGCUGAUCAUAAAGCACGAUCGAUAACGGCGUAAGUGGUAAGGGACCUUAAUUAAGUGAAUAUGGAAGUUGACGUAUCCAAAUCUAUUAUAUCUACAAAUGUUAACUAAAAAACUUGUAAAAGUAUAUAUACAUGUCUUAAAAAAUACAUCAUAAGAAAGAGAAAGUAACAAAGAAAAAAAAAGAGUGUAUAUCUUAAUGUAUAAAAGAUUAAGAGGAAAUCAAUGUCAAUAUAAAAGGGCUUUGACAUGCUGGUUCUUUAUGUUUCGACAAAGGCAACAAGUUUAGGCAAGUCUCUUUGUAAUGAAGUCGACGUCUGUCUAAAAGUCUUUGUAUUAAAAAAAUUGAAAUGUAAUCCAAUAUCAUGCUGUUUCGUA